ACUUGUCGCUACGGGUGCCUGCUGCAACUUCUUCAGUUGGCAUAUCUUCCCUGGCCUCUUCACGAGGUUAGGGAAAUAGUCGAUCAGAGAAUGGUGAACAGUGCUGAGAUCAUACCGUCUGAACUUGAACCGCGUUCGUACGCGCGUAAGAACAGCGAUUGCAAGUUUUC
rnacentral:ncRNA from 1 species